rnacentral:rRNA from 1 species
UACGCAGGGUGCAAGCGUUAAUCGGAAUUACUGGGCGUAAAGCGUGCGCAGGCGGUUCUAUAAGACAGAUGUGAAAUCCCCGGGCUCAACCUGGGAACUGCAUUUGUGACUGUAGAGCUGGAGUACGGCAGAGGGGGAUGGAAUUCCGCGUGUAGCAGUGAAAUGCGUAGAUAUGCGGAGGAACACCGAUGGCGAAGGCAAUCCCCUGGGCCUGUACUGACGCUCAUGCACGAAAGCGUGGGGAGC